CUGGUAUUAAGAGGCCAGGCUGGAAAAGGAAGGCACCAUUUCCAUCAUAUUCUUCUGGAGAGAACUUAGUCUCAUCUUCUUCACAGAAGAUGGGGAAAGGUGGCCCAGCUGGUCAGCCCUGUGCCUGGCUGCAUUUCUGUUACUAUGGAAGGAGGGAAAAAGGAAAGCCAGCAGUGCAUGUCACCCUUACAUAAGCUCCCUCCAUCAGGAAACUUAAGACCAACUCCAUUUGAUCUGAUCAGAGGACGUCUAUAAGGACCAACACAGUGUCACAUUCAAAAGCAUCUUUCUCCCCCUCCAAUCAACCAGUGUCCUGGGGCCUUCUUACCUCUGGGUAAGUUCUUUGCUAUCUUGGGCUCUCCUAGAGGUGGACAAUGAUCUUCCUUUUGGUUGAGAGUCCUAAUUGAGGAGCCUUAAG
rnacentral:lncRNA from 1 species